rnacentral:rRNA from 1 species
UACGAAGGGGGCUAGCGUUGCUCGGAAUCACUGGGCGUAAAGCGCAACGUAGGCGGAUUGUUAAGUCAGGGGUGAAAUCCUGGAGCUCAACUCCAGAACUGCCUUUGAUACUGGCGAUCUUGAGUCCGGGAGAGGUGAGUGGAACUGCGAGUGUAGAGGUGAAAUUCGUAGAUAUUCGCAAGAACACCAGUGGCGAAGGCGGCUCACUGGCCCGGUACUGA